GACGAACGCUGGCGGCGUGCUUAACACAUGCAAGUCGAGCGGUAAGGCCCUUUCGGGGGUACACGAGCGGCGAACGGGUGAGUAACACGUGGGCGACCUACCCUCAGCUUCGGGAUAAGCCUGGGAAACUGGGUCUAAUACCGGAUAUGACCUUCCCUCGCAUGGGGGUUGGUGGAAAGUUUUUUCGGCUGGGGAUGGGCCCGCGGCCUAUCAGCUUGUUGGUGGGGUGAUGGCCUACCAAGGCGACGACGGGGUAGCCGGCCUGAGAGGGCGACCGGCCACACUGGGACUGAGAUACGGCCCAGACUCCUACGGGAGGCAGCAGUGGGGAAUAUUGCGCAAUGGGCGGAAGCCUGACGCAGCGACGCCGCGUGGGGGAUGACGGCCUUGGUUG
rnacentral:rRNA from 1 species